ACCUAAACCAGGGUUCCUCGGUUUCCCCUGGAAUCCCCUAAUGGCAGAAAGGCCAAGUUCAGAGACUCUGGAGAUUUUCCAGUUCUGUUUCUCUUAAAAUGGUCCUCGAAACAUGGAGGGAACAGGGAAUUCUCACAGCUCAACCAUGAGUAGUUGAAAGAGAGUGAGGACCCAGCUGCCACAUAGUGAGAAGCCCCAGCCCCAUGGAGAGGACACACACAGGGGCUCCAGUGGACAGCCCCAACUGAGCUCCCAGCCAGCAUCAACUGCCAGCCUCGUGAAUGAGCCAUGUUGGACUUUCAGCCCAAGUAAGGCUGCAGACAACUCCAAACCCAGCUACCAUCUGACUGCAGGAUGAGAUAGUGUAAGUGAUUACCACCCACUGAGCCUUGUUAACCUACAGAACUGUCAGAUAAAUUAAUAAAUUAUU